CUCAGAAGGUGAGCUGGCCUGGAUUUGCGCCAUGGCCUGGGCCCUGUUCCUCGCAUUGCUCACAGGCUACGUGGGUUCCAGUUCCCAGCAGCUGCAGCCCCUGAAGCCAUCAGAGCAGGUGUCUCCCGGAGGGACUGUGACCAUCGCGUGCAGCCUGAGCAGUGGAGCAGUUGGUGAUGGCAACUACCCACAGUGGGUGCAACAGAAACCGGGCCAUGUUCCUCGGCUGCUGAUGUACAGCACCAGUACCCGGCCCUCUGAUGUGCCAGCGCGCUUCUCUGGGUCCCGAUCAGGGAACGCCAUGUCCUUGACCAUCACUGGGGCCCAGCCCGAGGAUGACGCUGAUUAUUACUGUUCAGUAUGGACUGGGAGUGCUUGCACAGUGAUACGGUCUUAUGGGGAAGUGCAACAAAAACUCUCUCUGCUCUGACUCCUCCGAACAAGAUCUGAAGCUUGAAAUGCAGCUGCUGUUAUGUGCUGCCCUAGAGUCCCUGCUCUGGGCACAUAGAGCUGGGGGACUCUGUUCCUCUUUUUCCCCUGCACCAGUUUUCACAGACUGCCAUGUGCCUAGUACCUCCAGCCGCCAUCCCACCGUCUACAGAAAGACAGAACCAGUAACUUCCAUGUUUUCCCUCCAGGCCAACAGCCCUCUCCAAACAUGACUAGGAACAAGCACGUCUUCUAGGCUUUGUAGCAUCCUUGGGCGUUGAUUCCCAUCAGAGAAGGGGCAUGUGGACUAUUGGCAGGGACCAGGACUCCCUCUUGGACAAUGGAGAUAGGAUGAGACCACUCCCCAGUGGAGAGCACGUUUCUGUUUAGUGUCUCCUCUCUUAGACUAUCAGACCUUUGGGGACAGUGUCUGUGUCCUGCGUCCUUCUAGUGCUGAUCAUAUGAAGGUUGUGUAAUG